UGGUGUUCUUAUCAUAGCCAUAGACAGAAAACUGGGACCAAGUGUGGAGGAACUGACCAUAUCGUUUUGUGAGGAGGAUUGUGGGAACAUUUGGAACUCUGUGCUGCAAGUACUGAGAGCUUCAUGAGUGGUUGUGCGAGCUUGGACGAUAAGAACGCGAUGAGAAUGAGAGAAAUACAGAUGGCAGAGGACUGACUUGUGAAGUUUCAGAGGGUCAGCACACAGAUGCCGUGGUUCGGAGGUGGCCCAGGCUGUACAUCGAGCUGGCAGCAGAAUCUGGCAAAUAAGGGGUAGAGUCUCCCACAUGUUGUUGGCUGUGAAGCCAUGAAGCAGUCAUGGAGCGCAAAGGGGGUUUGGCACUGAGAGAGGCCCCUGGUGAAGGUGCAAACUCAGUUGCAGUGGAAACCCCAGGAUAUUUGAGAUGCAAGAAUAAUAGGAAAACUGCCAAGGACAGCAGCAGAUGUGGUGUGGAGCGGACCUAAGCCUGGACUACAAGCUGUGUGUGUUGCAGAUGGGGAGCUGCCCAAAUCCUUUGGACUCCAGAAGAUGGCCCUCUGGCUUUUAAUUCACCCCAUGCUAGAGGAAAGCUUUCAGAAAAAAGAAUUGAAGAAGUGUAUGAUGGAUGACUGUGCAGAGAGAUCUGUCUUCUGAAAGCACGUCCUUCUUGCUGAGAUAACGCCGUUCUGAGGAUAGGCUUCGGAUGCUGGGGCAGAGCCAGGCCAGCUGUGUGGAGCUGUACUCCAGCCAAGCAACUGAAUGUCUGCUCUCGGGCGGUCUGAGGAGCUCUUAGAGCCCUCCGCCUCGGCCACUGAGGGCCUAC